rnacentral:rRNA from 1 species
GUGUCAGCAGCCGCGGUAAUACGGAGGAUGCGAGCGUUAUCCGGAUUUAUUGGGUUUAAAGGGUGCGCAGGCGGGAUCUUAAGUCAGCGGUGAAAUUUUCAGGCUCAACCUGAACACUGCCGUUGAAACUGGGAUUCUUGAGUAUAGAUGAAGUAGGCGGAAUUCGUUGUGUAGCGGUGACAUGCUUAGAUAUAACGAGGAACUCCAAUUGCGUAGGCAGCUUACUAAGCUAUAACUGACGCUCAAGCACGAAAGCGUGGGGAUCAAACAGGAUUAGAUACCCUGGUAGUCCACGCCGUAAACGAUGAUUACUAGUUGUUUGUGAUAUAUUAUAAGUGACUAAGCGAAAGCGAUAAGUAAUCCACCUGGGGAGUACGCCGGCAACGGUGAAACUCAAAGGAAUUGACGGGGGCCCGCACAAGCGGAGGAACAUGUGGUUUAAUUCGAAGCAACGUCGAAGAACCUUACAAAUCUUGACAUCCCAUCUGA